AUGGGAAAAAAUGGGAAAAAUUGGGGAAAAAAUUGGGGAAAAAAGGGCAAAAAUGGGAAAAAAAUGGGCAAAACUGGUCCAUACUGGUCCAUACUGGUCUAUACUGGUUCAUACUGGUUUAUACUGGUUUAUACUGGUUUUUCCCCCCCACAGCUCCCUGGGGGCGGGGCAGACGCUCCGGCUCAGCCAAUCAGUGACGCCGCUCCGGGCCGGGCAGCGCCGCCUCGUGGCCACCUUGGAAAGCGCCGCCCUCCCCCCCCUGAGCGGCUGCGUCCAGUUCAGCGCCCAAACUGGGAGCACUGGGAGCACUGGGAGCCUUACUGGGGAUACUGGGAGGGAGGAGAAUCAUACUGGGAGCACUGGGAAUGGCGGCAGGCGGCUGCGCAGGAGGAGGGGGAGGCCCGGCGGGAGUACGGGGGGUUAACUGGGAGCACUGGUUUGGACUGGGAGGGGGUUUGUGUUAUACUGGUCCAUACUGGGAGCACUGGUUUGUACUGGGAGGGGGUUUGGGUCAUACUGGGAGCCAUACUGGGAGCACUGGGAGCCAUACUGGGAGCACUGGGAGCCAUACUGGGAGCACUGGUUUGUACUGGGAGCCAUACUGGGAGCACUGGGAGCCAAACUGGGCCAUACUGGUCCAUAGUGGGAGCACUGGGAGCAGUCACUGGGUCAUACUGGGAGCACUGGGAGGGGUUACUGAUUCAUACUGGGAGCACUGGGAGCCAAACUGGGAGCACUGGGAGCCAUACUGGGCCAUACUGGGUCAUACUGGGAGCACUGGGAGCAGUCACUGGUCCAUACUGGGAGCACUGGGAGAGGGUUUGGGCCAAACUGGUCCAUACUGGGAAGGACUGGGAGCCAUACUGGGAGCACUGGAAGUCAAACUGGUCCAUACUGGGAGCACUGGGAUGGGGUUUGGGGUCAUACUGGGAGCACUGGUUUGUACUGGGAGAGGCUUUGGGCCAUACUGGGCCAUACUGGGAGCUGUUACUGGUUCAUACUGGGAGCACUGGGAGCGGUCACUGGUCCAUACUGGGAGCACUGGGAGCACUGGGAGCACUGGGAGCGGUCACUGGUCCAUACUGGGAGCACUGGGAGCCAUACUGGGAGCACUGGGAGGGGUUACUGGUCCAUACUGGGAAGGACUGGGAUGCAUACUGGGAGCACUGGGAGCGGGGAGAAUCAUACUGGGAGCACUGGGAGCCUUACUGGGAGCACUGGGAGAGGGUUUGGCCCAUACUGGACCAUACUGGGAGCCAAACUGGUCCAUACUGGGAGCACUGGGAGCUGUUACUGGUCCAUACUGGUCGCACUGGUUUGUACUGGGAGCCCCGGCGAUGACGUCACCGCCCCGCCCGCCAAUAAAAUCGCUCUUCUAACCCCGCUUCGUGCAUGACGUCA
rnacentral:lncRNA from 1 species